rnacentral:rRNA from 1 species
ACGGAUCUCUUGGUUCUCGCAUCGAUGAAGAACGCAGCAAAGCGCGAUAGGUAAUGCGAAUUGCAGACGUGAGUCAUUGAAUCUUUGAACGCACAUUGCGCCGGACACCGGCAUGCGGGGUUGAGCGUCACACCCUCUCCACA